AUGAACGCUGGCGGCGUGCCUAAUACAUGCAAGUCGAGCGAACAGAUGAGGAGCUUGCUCCUCUGACGUUAGCGGCGGACGGGUGAGUAACACGUGGGUAACCUACCUAUAAGACUGGGAUAACUUCGGGAAACCGGAGCUAAUACCGGAUAAUAUAUUGAACCGCAUGGUUCAAUAGUGAAAGACGGUUUUGCUGUCACUUAUAGAUGGAUCCGCGCCGCAUUAGCUAGUUGGUAAGGUAACGGCUUACCAAGGCAACGAUGCGUAGCCGACCUGAGAGGGUGAUCGGCCACACUGGAACUGAGACACGGUCCAGACUCCUACGGGAGGCAGCAGUAGGGAAUCUUCCGCAACGGGCGAAAGCUUGACGGAGCAACGCCGCGUGAGUGAUGAAGGUCUUCGGAUCGUAAAACUCUGUUAUUAGGGAAGAACAAAUGUGUAAGUAACUAUGCACGUCUUGACGGUACCUAAUCAGAAAGCCACGGCUAACUACGUG
rnacentral:rRNA from 1 species